UACGGGGGGAGCAAGCGUUGUUCGGAUUUACUGGGCGUAAAGGGCGCGUAGGCGGUCGUGACAAGUCACUUGUGAAAUCUCCGGGCUUAACUCGGAACGGUCAAGUGAUACUGUCGGACUAGAGUACAGAAGGGGCAACUGGAAUUCUCGGUGUAGCGUGAAAUGCGUAGAUAUCGAGAGGAACACCUGCGGCGAAGGCGGGUUGCUGGGCUGAUACUGACGCUGAGGCGCGAAAGCCAGGGGAGCGAACGGG
rnacentral:rRNA from 1 species